GGCAGGACUAAAACGUCAUGUCACAAAGGGCUGUUAGCACGGGUCAUCUGUGACACCCUCUCCCCACAGCGCAUCCUUGGCCCACCCAUGUCUGUCCCCUUACUGUUUUCCAGACCCUCAGAUCCACUUCUCACAGCCAUUUCCCCCCGUCCCCCACCCCUACCCCAUGCCCAGCAUCACCAAGGUCACCCGGGCCCCUGUGUGACGCUCACACGCACGCACCCUCACGCCUGCACACGCACCCUACAGCUCACACUUACUGGCACCCACAUCCUGGCACGUGUUUGCACACACACGUGAAUCCAGGGUCCACAGCCUCAGCCGCAUGCCCGCUCUGGGGUCCAGCAGCCGGAUCGCUCUCCAGAAAGUGCCACAGGAAGCAGACGUCAUCGUGACCUGGCAAGCACUUUGGGGUGUCACCCGCAGCCAACAAAGAGAGCGAGAGCGAGAGCGAGAGAGAGAGCGCUUACUACUCUCCGAGGCCAGGACGAGCUGGUCUCAAAGGGUCACACGCUGACUGCAAUCGCAUGGAACCCAUCACCACAGCUCAGAGGCCGCCCAGGGACGGGCGGGGCGGCAGUGGAAGGGGCUGAUAACGAGCUCAGGGGUUUCUGGGGGUGCAGACGUUCUGGAACCGGACGGCGGUGUUGGGGACCCAGCACGCGACCCAUAAAGGACACCGAGGCGCACGCUGCAAAGUGGCUGAUGGUUAAUUUCACGUGUGAAAACUCAAUAAAACUGCACAUCAGCCUCACUCAUAAAGGAA